GACGAACGCUGGCGGCGUGCCUAACACAUGCAAGUCGAACGGAAACGCCCUUCGGGGUACUCGAGUGGCGAACGGGGGGGUAAACCGUUGGUGAUUUGCCCUGCACUUUCGGAUAAGUCUGGGAAAAUGGGUCUAAUAUUGCACAGGACCACGCUCUUCCUGGUGUGUGGUGGAAAGCGUUUUCGGUGUGGGAUGGGCGUGCGGCCUAUGAGCUCGUAGGAGGGGUAAUGGCCUACCAAGGCGACGAAGGGUAGCCGGCCUGAGAGGGUCACCGGCCACACUGGGACUGAGAUACGGCCCAGACUCCAACGGGAGGCAGUGGUGGGGAGUAUUACACAGUGGGCGCAAGCCUGAUGCAACGACGCCGCGUGAGGGAAGACGGCCUGCGGGUAGUGAACCUCAUUCGAUAGAGACGAAGCGGAAGUGACGGUACCUAUAGAAGAAGCACCGGCUAACUACGUG
rnacentral:rRNA from 1 species